GUAUUCUGAACAUUUCUUAGAUAUUUUACAUAGAAUUUUCUAAUUCUUAAUUUUUUUCACUAAGAAAGUUUUUUAUCUAAGAUUUUUAUCUUAGAAUUUUUCUAAGACCAUUCUUAGAGAAAAAACGUUCUUAGAAAAUAAAACUAUUUUCGUUCGUAAAAAAUUUGUAUUAUCGACAGAUUAAGCGCUUUUUGCAGUUGUGCGCAUGCGCGUUAAUACUGCGAAGCAAAACAAUAUGGCAACUUCGAUGAACAAAGUGUGUCAUUCAAAUACGCGAGUGUAAUGUGUUUUAAGGCUUCAAACACAUUAUUUUAAUUGUAUAUAGGACGUAAUUCCAUCUACUUUGCGUUAAAGCCGAUAAUAAUGAAAUCGCUCAAACGUUCAGAGUAGAGUAACAGUUAUAAUGUGCAACGAAUUAUAUUCGCGCGAAUGUUGAACGAUUGUUAGAAUAUUACGUGUCUAAACAAUCUUCAAUCGUAAGCAAUAAAAUGUGUCAAGUCUGAACAGAAAACGGAUGGUUGCAUAAUGGUAUGUUUGGAAUAAUGUGAUUCUAUAUUUAUUUCAUAAUUAUGUCAUUUUGUAACCAUUCACCUUCGUCAAGAAUUGGAAUUCCUGUUUCUAAAAAUAGAAAAUUUCCCACGGAAUGUAAACAGGCGACGUGUUUGACAAAUACAAUGGCGUCAAAUAAGAAGGAGAGGGAACAUAAAUUUUCGCUAGACGACUGCAUCAUCUUAUGCAAUUUAAUGGCGAAAGACUGUGGUAUUGCGUUUUUGCAUGGAUUGAGUAACCAUGACCUGAUACGACAUAGAUUCACUGAAGGUGUCACUGCAGCUGUCACGACAAUGACCAACUCGAGGUGAUGUCAUUAGCAGAGCUGCUGAAGAGAAAGAAGAUAAUGCUUGAAAUUUGAUUGUUGAAAAAAAGUUGCAGUCACCAUACAUGUUUAAUUUUCAUUUUGAUCAUAAGGUUUUAUUUUAGUUAAUAUCAAAAUCCUUAGUCUAUAGAAAAAAUUCAAAACUUUUCAAAAUAGCAUUUGUUGUAAUGAAAAUUUAAUUUAUUUUUUACAAUGAAAGCACUUUUGUUCACAUGAAAUAUCUGCAUUUUGUUUGAAAACAUUUCCUAACACAUACAAUUAUAUGUGUCUUGUUCUGAGAAAACUGGGCAUAAUGCAUGAGCAAAAGUGUCGUCCCAGAUUAGCCAGUGCAGUCCGCACAGGCUAAUCAGGGACAACACUUUCCGCCUUAACUUGAUUUUCGGUAAUGAGGGACUUCCUUGAAACUAAAAAUAAUGUUUUGUUUUUGGGAAAUAAAUUAAUUACUUAC